rnacentral:ncRNA from 17 species
AAAUAUUUUAAAGGUGUAGGUGUCAAUUUUAGAUUGACUAAAAGGGAAGUCGGGUGAAAAUCCCGCGCGGUCCCGCCACUGUAAAGGCGAGCUACCUUAUACUGAGCCACUGGGAAACUGGGAAGGCAUAAGGAGCGAUGAACCUGAGCCAGGAGACCUGCCUAUGCUGAUUUCACUAUC